rnacentral:rRNA from 2 species
GGUUAAGCGACUAAGCGUACACGGUGGAUGCCCUGGCAGUCAGAGGCGAUGAAGGACGUGCUAAUCUGCGAUAAGCGUCGGUAAGGUGAUAUGAACCGUUAUAACCGGCGAUUUCCGAAUGGGGAAACCCAGUGUGUUUCGACACACUAUCAUUAACUGAAUCCAUAGGUUA